AGCGAACGCUGGCGGCAGGCCUAACACAUGCAAGUCGAACGAACCUUUCGGGGUUAGUGGCGGACGGGUGAGUAACACGUGGGAACGUGCCUUUAGGUUCGGAAUAACUCAGGGAAACUUGUGCUAAUACCGAAUGUGCCCUUCGGGGGAAAGAUUAAUCGCCUUUAGAGCGGCCCGCGUCUGAUUAGCUAGUUGGUUGAGGUAAUGGCUCACCAAGGCGACGAUCAGUAGCUGGUCUGAGAGGAUGAUCAGCCACAUUGGGACUGAGACACGGCCCAAAACCCAGCGGGAAGGAGGGAGGGGGAAAUUUUGAGAAAGGGCAAAAGGCUGGAACAGCCCAGGAGGGGUAAAGGAGAAGGUUUUAGGGUUAAAAAAAUUUUUUCCCGGGGGAGAAAAAUGAGGGACCCGGAAAAAAAAGCCCGGGCAAAUUUGGUG
rnacentral:rRNA from 1 species